CCCCAGCUCCCACAUGUCAUUUCAUUAGCAGAUAUCUAUAACUCCAGUUUCAAGGGAUUCAAACCUUCAUCUGGCCUCUGAGAGAAGCACACAAAUGUGUUGGACCAACAUACAUGCAGGAAAAAUGGUGGUAUGAACAAAAUAAUAAAAUAAACUUCAUAAAGUAAAACAACUAAUAUAACUGUAGUUAAGAUGGCUGGGGUUUUGAGUGAAUGUGAUAAAUAGAGUUCUGAUGUUCAGGAGCAGUUUAGAAAGGAGGGAGUGCCGGAAUAGUUGACACAAGAACAGGUCACAAUGUACAUGAGGAUUUCAGUUCUUAUGCAUCCUUCCUAAUCCAGUUAGAUCUAUCCAUAUGCACAUAGGACAUUUCAGUUCUAUUGAAGGCCUAAGGUGAGUAUAUUUUAAAGUAACAUCAAAGGAAACAAGAAAAAUUGUCCUAGAGACAAGAGGAAUGUGAGAAUUGCCAACUCUGAAUCAUUCCAACAUCAUUGCACUGAGAGCCUUUGGGGAUAAUAGGAAUUAGGAUCCUCUACAGUUAAACUCUAUCCUAUAAAUUGUCCUGAAGCCAACAAGGCAGUCAAAAUCAACUAGUUCUUCAAAGGAUGUAGUAAUAAUUUUUGUCAGGACAACCAACCCACAAAUAACAACCUGGAGACUUAUUAUUAAUUUUGAAAGAUUGACCCUUAACUUAGCCUUGUCCAAAACUAGUUAUAACUCAAAUUAACAUGCUUCUGUUCAUCUAUGUUCUACCAUAUUACUUGGCUACCUCUGCUUUGUACUGUAUGUAUGACUUCUUCAUAGUUUCAUCGAUUUCCCCUACUUUUCCAGUUCUCAGAGUUCUCUCCCUGCUCAAGAAAUCCUGCUUAUUCCCUCCUGUCUAGCUAUUGGCCAUUUAGCUCUUUUUAAAACCAAUUACAGUGACACAUCCUCACACAGUGCAAACAAAUAUUCUACAUCAGAGGGACAUGCUUGAACCAUAUAGUAUCACAGCCAAAAUCAUAUCCUCAGGUUUGUACAUGGUGAGAAAUCUAAGUAUAAAGUUAGUAAAGAACCAACUCGAUUCCUGCAUAAAAGGGUGAGGGGAAUGUCCAGGAGUUUUGGAGAAUGUCAAGGUCACAUACCACUUCAUAUUACUUUAACUAUUUAGAAGGAUUCUCACUUGCACUUUGUACCACUAUUGGCUCUUUUUUCUUCUCACCUCUUUCUCUCCCUAGGACUUCCCCCCUUUCUCUCUCACAUAAGAAAGAUGGGGAAAAGAAAUAUCCAUAGUGACAAAUUUACCUUCAAAUGUUUAAAAGAGGAUGCGACCUUAAGGAAACCAGAUAAGGCCCUAGCCAAGGAUUUCUCCGUGCUCAAGAUCCGGCCGCUCACACAGGGAACCAAGCUGUUCAAGCUCAAAACCUUGCAGAGGCCAAGUAAGGGAAGCCUGUCCCUCCACAGGGAGGCUGUGUGUGUGCUUUUGUGUUUGGCUUACUUUUCCUUCUUUAUUUCCCUGUUCUUCAAGAGCCUGGGCUACAGUAGCUAGUGAGGCUCAGCUUCCCCUAGGUUUGGAGAGGGCCUAGCGUCAGCUACCACGUGCAUACAUUAUUCCUGUGGGAAAAAUGUUUUUAACACACAGAUACUAUCUAUAUUAAAGCCACAGCUGUGUUUAGAUGCAUAGUGGUGGUAAAAGUUCCACAUUUUGGAACCAGACUACUUGUGUUUCUUUCCUAUUAACUGUGGGACCUAUUUUAAAUUGCUCAGUCACCUCAUAACUCAUGUUUAUAUCUGUGAAAUGGAGACAAUAAAAAUAGUUUUCAUGCCAUCAAAUAUCAUGAGAGAUAUGUGAACUAAUACUUGUGAAGGGAUUCAAAUCGUGUCUUGUGCACGCGUGCGCGCGUGCGUGCGUGCGUGCGUGCGUGCGUGUGUGUGUGUGUGUGUGUGUGUGUGUAUGUGUGUGUG
rnacentral:lncRNA from 1 species